AUCAGCCCAAGAGGGCGGAUGCUGCUGUGUCGUCUCCUCGGUCUCCUCGAAGGUUCCAGUGAUUAGGACAUGAACAGAUCCUUCUUUUUGGGGAGGCGGCAUCAUUCAACCCACCACAGGCAUCAGCACCGCCAGCAGCACCACUCGUAGCACCACCAGCACCAGCAUCAUUGCCAGCAUUAGGUAAAUACCAGUAUGGACCGGGCAUCGGUCCAGUUGCUUUUCCU